ensembl:lncRNA
CCCAGUAGUAUCAGAUGGAACACAUUCUGACUCCUCCCAGUAGUAUCAGAUGGAACACAUUCUGACUCCUCCCAGUAGUAUCAGAUGGAACACAUUCUAACUCCUCCCAGCAGCAGGGAUAUUGAAUUUCCUGUUUAGUCCUAUUCCCCUCUUCACAUUGCUUUUGCACCAAAUGACCCCACACAGCAAGUAAGGCAAUGUAUACAGUAUUAUGUAGAGUAGCGCACCAGUCUCUCAGGCUUGACCCUCUCACCCCUGUCCUCCCCUAUAAGCCUAAAGGUCAUAUCAUAAAGAGAUUGUCUCCAGAUAAUAGAGUACAGAAACAUCAACUCUCUCCAUCUGUUCUCCUCCCUGCUGGGAGUUGAGUGGAUCUAAUAGUGUGGUAUUGAGCUCCACUGUAGAUUCCUCAAAAGUUUUUCAUUACAGAAAUCUAUAUCAAUCCCCUUCCCUCCUGUCAAACUAAUAUGUUGUUAGAUCCCCAAUGACCCUCUGGAACACAUCUCUCUGGGUUUCACCAGAGUAUGGCUGGUGCCCAUACAGCAGCUAAAACUUCAUGUGACAGCGCUUAGCUACCUGAUGAAUAUUCUCCCAACGUUUCUGUUUCCCUGUAACAUCUCUACUACCUCGCUCACCAACCAACAGUUGACCUGCAGGGGAAACCUUCUAACCCAGGCCUUUAGAAAGAGACAAGGAGAUGAGGGGCAGAGGUGUUGGAGGCAAAUCAGAGCAAUUAACUGUCUUUAACAGAGAAGUCAUGGUGUAAGCCUGCCGUAUGUAUCAUUUACAGUAUGUACCAUUUACAGUAUGUACCAUUUACAGUAUGUACCAUUUACAGUAUGUACCAUUUACAGUAGGUAUCAUUUACAGUAUGUAUCAUAUCAUUUACAUUUACAGUAUGUAUCAUUUACAGUAUGUAUCAUUUACAGUAGGUAUCAUUUCAUGGGGCGGCAGGGUAGCCUAGUGGUUAGAGCGUUGGACUAGUAACCGGAAGGUUGCAAGUUCAAACCCCCGAGCUGACAAAGUACAAUCUGUCGUUCUGCCCCUGAACAGGCAGUUAACCCACUGUUCCUAGGCCCUCAUUGAAAAUAAGAAUUUGUUCUUAACUGACUUGCCUAGUUAAUUAAAGGUAAAAUAAAGGUAAAAUUUAAAAAAGUACAGUAUGUACAAUUUACCAUUUACAGUAGGUAUCAUUUACAAUCGGUAUAAUUCCACAUGACCUAUGGGAUGGUUGUGCAUCUGGAAUAUGAACAUAACUUAAACUAACUGAAAGAAGGUUCCCUAGUCUAGAAUGUUCCCUAGUCUAGAAUGUUCCCUAGUCUAGAAUGUUCCCUAGUCUAGAAUGUUCCCUAGCCUAUUAUGUUCCCUAGCCUAGAAUGUUCCCUAGCCUAGAAUAUUCCCUAGCCUAGUAUGUUCCCUAGAAUGCUAGAAUGUUCCCUAGCCUAGUAUGUUCCCUAGAAUCCUAGAAUAUUCCCUAGCCUAGCCUAGAAUAUUCCCUAGCCUAGAAUAUUCCCUAGCCUAGCCUAGAAUGUUCCCUAGCCUAGUAUGCUCCCUAGCCUAGAAUAUUCCCUAGCCUAGCCUAGAAUAUUCCCUAGCCUAGCCUAGAAUAUUCCCUAGCCUAAAAU